GCCCGCAUGGCUAAGUGGUAUAGCGUCUCACUAGUAACUUCCUGUACAUGAGAAGAUCGGCGGUUCGAUUCCGCCUGUGGGCA